AGGCGUUCGGCGUCAUAGGCGGACAUGCUAGCCUCUGUGCUAACCAUGGUGGUAUCCGAAUUAAUACUUCUGCCACAAAGUGUUAAUUCAUUGUAGCCACCCUAGAGCAGAGGUUAGCAUGUCCGCCUAUGACGCUGAACGCC
rnacentral:pre_miRNA from 1 species